rnacentral:rRNA from 1 species
AUUGAACGCUGGCGGCAUGCCUUACACAUGCAAGUCGAACGGCAGCACGGGGGCAACCCUGGUGGCGAGUGGCGAACGGGUGAGUAAUGCAUCGGAACGUGCCCAGUAGUGGGGGAUAACCAGUCGAAAGACUGGCUAAUACCGCAUACGACCCAAGGGUGAAAGCGGGGGACCGUAAGGCCUCGCGCUAUUGGAGCGGCCGAUGUCUGAUUAGCUAGUUGGCGGGGUAAGAGCCCACCAAGGCGACGAUCAGUAGCUGGUCUGAGAGGACGACCAGCCACACUGGGACUGAGACACGGCCCAGACUCCUACGGGAGGCAGCAGUGGGGAAUUUUGGACAAUGGGCGCAAGCCUGAUCCAGCCAUGCCGCGUGCGGGAGGAAGGCCUUCGGGUUGUAAACCGCUUUUGGCAGGAACGAAACGGCGCAAGCCAAUACCUUGCGCUAAUGACGGUACCUGCAGAAUAAGCACCGGCUAACUACGUGCCAGCAGCCGCCGUAAGAC